AGAGUUUGAUCCUGGCUCAGAGCGAACGUUGGCGAUGCGUCUUAAGCAUGCAAGUCGAGCGGGCUUAUUCGGGCAACUGGAUAAGUUAGCGGCGAACUGGUGAGUAACACGUAGGUAAUCUGCCGUGAAGCGGGGGAUAACCCAUGGAAACAUGGACUAAUACCGCAUAUACUCUUGCUACAUAAGUAGAGUAGAGGAAAGUUUUUUCGCUUCACGAUGAGCCUGCGGCCUAUUAGCCUGUUGGUAGGGUAAUGGCCUACCAAAGCUACGAUAGGUAGCCGACCUGAGAGGGUGACCGGCCACAUUGGGACUGAGAUACGGCCCAGACUCCUACGGGAGGCAGCAGCUGAGAAUCUUCCACAAUGGACGAAAGUCUGAUGGAGCGACAUCGCGUGAGGGAUGAAGGCCUUCGGGUUGUAAACCUCGGAAAUUAUCGAAGAAUGAGUGACAGUAGAUAAUGUAAGCYCGGCUAA
rnacentral:rRNA from 1 species